rnacentral:rRNA from 1 species
UACGUAGGGGGCGAGCGUUGUCCGGAUUUAUUGGGCGUAAAGCGCACGUAGGCGGCUUCGCAAGUCGGAUGUGAAAUCCCUCGGCUCAACCGAGGACGUGCAUCCGAAACUGCGGAGCUUGAGUACUGAAGAGGAUCGCGGAAUUCCCGGUGUAGAGGUGAAAUUCGUAGAUAUCGGGAGGAACACCAGUGGCGAAGGCGGCGAUCUGGGCAGAUACUGACGCUGAGGUGCGAAAGCGUGGGGGAGCAAACAGG